CGCUAGCUACAGGCUUAACACAUGCAAGUCGAGGGGUAGCAGGGUAGCAAUACCGCUGACGACCGGCGCACGGGUGAGUAACACGUAUCCAACCUUCCCAUAACUCAGGGAUAGCCUUUCGAAAGAAAGAUUAAUACCUGAUAGUACUUUUUCAAGGCAUCUUGAGAAAGUUAAAGAUUUAUUGGUUAUGGAUGGGGAUGCGUUCCAUUAGAUAGUUGGUGAGGUAACGGCUCACCAAGUCUUCGAUGGAUAGGGGUUCUGAGAGGAAGGUCCCCCACAUUGGUACUGAGACACGGACCAAACUCCUACGGGAGGCAGCAGUGAGGAAUAUUGGUCAAUGGGCGAGAGCCUGAACCAGCCAAGUAGCGUGAAGGAUGAAGGUCCUAUGGAUUGUAAACUUCUUUUAUAGUAGAAUAAAGUGAUCCACGUGUGGAUUUUUGUAUGUAUACUAUGAAUAAGGAUCGGCUAACUCCGUGCCAGCAGCGGC
rnacentral:rRNA from 1 species